GUGGGGAAUCUUGCGCAAUGGGCGAAAGCCUGACGCAGCCAUGCCGCGUGAAUGAUGAAGGUCUUAGGAUUGUAAAAUUCUUUCAGCAGGGACGAUAAUGACGGUACCUGCAGAAGAAGCCCCGGCUAACUUCGUGCCAGCAGCCGCGGUAAUACGAAGGGGGCUAGCGUUGCUCGGAAUUACUGGGCGUAAAGGGCGCGUAGGCGGGUCGUUUAGUUGGGGGUGAAAGCCCAGGGCUCAACCCUGGAAUUGCCUUCAAUACUGGCGGCCUUGAGUAUGGCAGAGGUGUGUGGAACUCCGAGUGUAGAGGUGAAAUUCGUAGAUAUUCGGAAGAACACCAGUGGCGAAGGCGACACACUGGGCCAUUACUGACGCUGAGGCGCGAAAGCGUGGGGAGCAAACAGG
rnacentral:rRNA from 1 species